AUGGAAAGUAGGAAGAUUUUUCGAAAGGGUAAAAGUAUCGUUCAUGGUCGUACUGGCCCACUAAGAGGAGAUGCAUUUAACGAAAAUGAUGAAAAAAAAAAUGCAUGGGACAAUGAGAAUUUGAAUACUCUUCCUGCUAAUAAGAAUUAUAACAUACCAAAACCUAGUAUGAAUAAUAAUAAUAAUAAUAAUAAUAGUAGUAGUAGUAGUAUAAAAAAUGAAGCAAAUGAUGAGGUACAAAAAAAUAAAAAUAAUACAGAUGUAAAUACUGAAGAAGCAAUAAAUCCCCAUUUUAAUGCUACUACUGAUGAACAUACAAGUAAUGAUAUUUUUGAACAAUUGUUACAACGAGAAUUAGCGAAGGGAGCUUAUGGUGGAGGUGUUAUUGAAAAAAAUGCUAAUAAAUUGAAAGAAAAUGUUGCAAAUGUAAAAACUGUAAGUAGUAGUAACAAUAUGAACAUAGAUAAUAAUGAAAAUAAAAACUUUAACCCAAAUAUGGGUAAUGCUAUUGAUGGUGAUGGAGAAGAUUUAAGCAAAAUAGAUUUAAUGACUCGAAUAAACAGUUCUUUAGUUAGACAUCGAAUGCAUGGAUAUAGUGAAGUUUUACUUUGUUUUGGUACAAGUGAGGAUGAAAAUGAUGAAAAUUUUGAAAACAUUGAUGAGAAUAAAAUAAAUAAAGAAAUAGAUUUAGUUAAUAGCGUAUUUAAGGAUGAUGAUAUGAUUUUAAAAUAUUUAUCAGAUAAUAAUACUAUAUGUCAAAUAAAAGCAGCAGAAAUGAUUGAUGAAUACUUAAGUGCUCUUAAAAGAAUUCAUAUUUAUAAUAUAAUAAAUAAUAAUAGUAAUAUUAAUAAAGAAGAAAUAAUGAAUUCUUUUGUAAAUGAAAAUAGGAAUAAAUUAUUUAAUUUAUUUAGUAAGAUAUAUAGUGUAUUAUGUGAAAAGGUAUUAACAAAUAAUAAAUCAUUUGAUAGUGGUUUUAAUAUUGUAAGUAAAAUAAUAGAAUUUUGUUCUAAUGAAAAAACAACUGUAAAUAUUUUGACCUUACUCUCUGAUCAUUUAAAUAAUAUAUGGUUAAAAGCAAAUAAAUCAAUAUCUAAUAUAAAAGGAGUAAAAAUAAAAGUAGUCUCUUCCAUUAUUUUAUUAUAUUAUAAAUUAGUUGCUUCAUUUGGGGUAAAUAUUAUAUGUGUUAGAACAAUAAACAGAUGUUGUUUAAAAUUUAAUGAAAUGGUAGAUAAAACAGUUAAAACUAAUUUUUAUUUAUUAUACAUUGAAAUAUUUAAACAAAUUAAAAAUCCUGAUUUUCAAAACAGUAUACUAAACGAAUUACAUGUCCAACAAAAAAACCAUAUAUUAAAAGAGUUACAAAAAGGAGAAAGUGGUACUAAUGAUACUGUCGGAUCUUCUAAAAAUACAAACAUAAAACAUAAGAUGUAUUUACUUAAUCGAUAUAGUUCUGUUGAUAUGUAUGGAAAUGAUAAAGAUAUUGAUGGAAGUAAUAAUCGUAGUGGAAACUUUCAAAUGAAUACAAAACCAUUACUUGAUGAAUCUGACGUAUUUAAAGAAAUAUGUUCAAAAAAUUGGGAAAAAAGAGUAUUAGAAGGUGUGAUUGAUAAAACAGAAACUAGUAAUAGUACUGGUACUAAUUUAACAAAUGAAAACUUGUUACCAUGGAAAAUAAAAGUAGAAGCUUUAAACUUGUUAUAUGAUCGAAUAAAAAUAAAAUAUGCUAUUAAAAAAACAAGUUAUAUUAGUACAUUAUUAAAUAUUAUUUCUAAAUUGUUAAAAAAUGAGUCUGCAUUACCGGUGGUAGUAUCUACUAUAAAAUUAUUACACAUAUUGAUUGAAAAGUUUGAAAAAGAAAUACAUAGUACUGUUAAAACAUUAUCUUUCAUUUUAUGUUCAAAAAUUAAAGAUUCAAAUAAACAAGUAUGUAAUGCAUCUAUGGAAUGUUUAAUAAAAGCUAUUUCGAUUUAUAAUAUAGAUACUUUUUUUGGAUGA
ensembl:lncRNA